CGGUUAGCUUCCUCUGGCCAUUGUAGGUAACAAUCAGUGUAGCUUCAACCAGCCUGCGCCAGCUACCGAGGGCAGUUAAUUGAGGGCUCUUAGGCAGAUAAGACCUACAAAAACAGAAAAGCCUCACCCAGAGAGGGCUGGAAAAGCUGUAACAACUGUAACAAAACCUCAUGGUUGUAGGGUUUUCUGUAACAGAUAAACUUACUAUGUCUCAGCGUGAUACAAAAUCUCCAGUUUCCAUUGCUGACUGUGAGGGAAUGUAAGACAUCAAGACUGGGUACAGAUGACUGGGACCUGUAGUCACUGAAAACAUUGGCUCCACAGUCAAGGAGACAGUAACAAGAAUCGUUGUGAAACUCCUUCAGCACUGCAUCAUCAGGCAGGAAGAUGAUUUUGUCCAGUGUAUUCCCUAAAACUGCCAACUGAGAAAAUUCUACACUUUGAUCAAGGAGGCUGUUCUCUGUGACAUCAUUUCAUAAAAACCAGAGUAGAGCACUGCAGUUGCUACUGGGACCACGUGCUGAUGUAACGGCCUUUUGGGAUCCAUUCCCAUUGUAAUGGGCGUAUUAUGUAGGAGGCUGCCAUAGUCUGCAGAGGUGUAGUCAAGCUGUUGUCCAGGCUGCCUUGAAUCAGCGGCAGGAGGCAGGCACCUUCAGACAGCUCUGCUGCUGUGCUUACACUGGUGUCUGCAGCCGGCUGAGCGAGCUGCCUGCUGGAGGUGACUUUUCCUCUCCUGCAGUUUCUCUGACUACAGAAGAAGCUGAGAUGACAACCUAGACUAAGUGCUUAACUUUUAGAUGGCUCGAAUGAAUUAAUUAGCCAUGGUGCUCGGAGGUGAUCUAAUACAAAUCUUCAUGCUAAUAUGCCUAGCCUGUAAUACUGUGAUCUCGAACUUGCCGGAUCUUCAUACUUGGCUUGUGAAGUACCCAUGCCCUGCCCCAUCUCUUCUCCAAUGGGCUCUACCUAUUUUUAGAAUCCGAAAGCCAGCUAGACGACUAUGCUGCAGGCUUUACAUCUUCUGAGAACUAUUGCUGCAACACCCUGGUGUGAUGACAUCUGUAGGUAUCUGUUCAGGCAGCUGUGCCAUUGGGAACUCCAUAAAAUCCCAGUGCUGUAGCUAUGAUUAAUAAUCACAUGAUGUUUAAAUCAUCAAAAGCGCACACCUAGAGUGUAUCCUGUAUCCAGACUGAAUUUAUCUGAAAGAUGUCAGAAAGACUUUGAACUUCUGAAGAACGUGGUAUGCAAAAAUCCUGCAUUCUCAAAGUGCAGCAGUUCUGAUAUAAUUUGCUUUCUGCUGGAGUCUUGAGAAGGGCUAAACAAACUGCCACACUUUGCCUGAAGAUUUAUGCUCUCUUGAUAGUUUCUAAAAACGUUUAAACAGCAAGGACAUUUUGUAAAGACAAAUACUAGUACUUUGCAAUCUACAAAAUCAUUAAGGCAUCACAACAUUGUUUUCUGAUUGUAGCUUAACAGGAAAAAAAAACAAUUCUCAGUGAUGAGUUUUAUUUUUCUGGUGGGCAUUUACUGAUGGAAGUAACGUGCAGUUCAGGAAAAUCAGCAAAAGCAAAGCAGAGUAACUGUCAAUAGAGGGAAAACGCUUUAAUAUUAAAAAUUAAUAUAAAGUUUUAUUCUAGAAUAUUGUUACUAUUUUUGUCCCCCUUUUUCUCCAACUCUUCAUAUUCUAUUUGUAAAUUUCUUAUUUGUCAGUAUUCAUUAGGCAUCACCCUUACACUUACACUCCAAAUUCAAAUAAAAAAGCGUAUUUUGAAUCUUUCCUAUUCCAUUUCAGCCAUCAGCCAGUGGCUCCCAGCCACUAAGGCAGGCCUGGGCCACCAAGUCUUGUUGGACUGUGCUGGCUAGGGUUAUUGUGCUGCUAUGGGAUGUGGUUGGCUUUCCCAAACAGAGCUUGGCUAUGAAAGGCUUGGGAGCUAUGGCCUUGUGCAGGAAACCUCUGCGAUAGAGAUUUGGUCUUCAUAGAUAGAGAUUUUGGUCUUAUUUGAUUGCUCUAUACAACAAUUUCCGGAUUUAAUACUAGCAUUGGACACUACUGUGGCAGCUGACUAAACACAUGAGAUUCAGAAGUUCAGUAACACUCCCUCUAUUUUCCUUCGCUCAGAAGAAAAUCUUGCUGGAGAUGCCAGACUGACAGCUGUGACUCUGAAUCUUUGUCCUUUGCUCUUACAAGUUCUCAAUGUGCAACGCAUUUUCUGUACUUCCUAAAUAAUGCAUUUUUGUUAUGUUAUGUAAAGGCCAGUUUUAAGUGAAGAAACAAGUCAUUUAAUUAGGGAAGCAAGUUUCAUUUUCAGUACAAGCAGCACUGUGCUCUGUUGUCAAUAAGAAAGUCAUUUCAGAAAUGGAUUUUUUUGUAUGUGAAAUACAGGAAAGGCAUCACAUGUCCCAGUUUCUCCCAAAGUCCAAAGCUUACACAAAAGAAGAUGACAAAAAAUCAGGCAGCUCAGGAGGAUAAAUGCAGUUAGUCAGGAAGGUUCUCAGAGCAAAUCACCUUUGUUACACAUGGCUCCGUCUACCUAUAGCAAAAUAUCGCUGAAGAGCUGGUGGUAAGCAAAGCCUGCUUUUCAUGUGAAAUAGGGAAAUUAGAAAAUAAUGUCAGUACAGUCUACAAAUAUUUUAAGAAAAUGAAAAAUUAGGAAAAAAAAAAACAUUUGUAUACGGUUUUAUUUUUCCCUCCCAUUUCAACCUUAUCUGCCUUGGUGGUUGAAGUGGAAAAGUCUCAACAGAAAAGCAGUGUGUCAUGAGCCUGCUCUACUAACAGUGACAAAAAAGAUGUGUUUGGUGUCAGAAGAGGUGCUGGCAUGGCAGACCAGCGUAUGCCGAUCCAUUUUGUUGCCUGUGCUAUCUACCAGAUUCGUGAUUGUAUGAUGGAAAUGGUCUCACUGGGAUCAUCUGCAUUACUCUUCAACACAGAAACUGUGAAACAACUUAAAGCAACAGUAGUCAAAACCUGAAGUUGAUUUUAAGUGUCCUGAAAGCUUGGCCUAAUUCACACAUGACACGACUCCAACACAGACACCUUUCUCCAGUUCUUUCCAAUCUGAAGGGGCUGCACUUUAGUGAAUCUUCAUCUGCCAGUGGUGAAUAUCUACAAAGUUUUGUCUUCAGUUGCUGAAAGUUUAAUUUUCUUAAU